ACUAAGCAUAUCAAUAAGCGGAGGAAAAGAAACCAACAGGGAUUGCCUCAGUAACGGCGAGUGAAGCGGCAAGAGCUCAGAUUUGAAAUCUGGCGUCAUACUGACGUCCGAGUUGUAAUCUGUAGAGGAGUACUCGAGUGUGGAUUUGGCUUAAGUUCCUUGGAACAGGACGUCAUAGAGGGUGAGAACCCCGUUAACGGCCUAUGUCUUAUACUCAUGUGAGUCUCCUUCAACGAGUCGAGUUGUUUGGGAAUGCAGCUCUAAAUUGGUGGUAAAUUCCAUCUAAAGCUAAAUACUGGCAAGAGACCGAUAGCGCACAAGUAGAGUGAUCGAAAGAUGAAAAGAACUCUGAACAGAGAGUUAAAUAGUACGUGAAAUUGUUGAAAGGGAAGCACUUGCUACCAGACACGCUUGUGGUUGAUCAGCCUCCAUUCUUGGUGGUGCACUCGGCUGCAAGUGGGUCAGCAUCAGUUACAAUGGUGGGAUAAAGACCGAGGGAAUGUGGCUUCUUUCGGGAAGUGUUAUAGCCCUUGGUGUAAUACCAUCUAAUGUGACUGAGGCCCGCGCUUUUGGCGAGGAUGCUGGCAUAAUGGUCGUAAGUGACCCGUCUUGAAACACGGACCAAGGAGUCUAACAUCUAUGCGAGUGUUUGGGCUUCAAAACCCUUACGCGAAAUGAAAGUGAAUGAAGGUGGGAACCGCAAGGUGCACCAUCGACCGAUCCUGAUGUUCUCGGAUGGAUUUGAGUAGGAGCAUAACUGUUGGGACCCGAAAGAUGGUGAACUAUGCCUGAAUAGGGUGAAGCCAGAGGAAACUCUGGUGGAGGCUCGCAGCGGUUCUGACGUGCAAAUCGAUCGUCAAAUUUGGGUAUAGGGGCGA
rnacentral:rRNA from 1 species